rnacentral:rRNA from 1 species
GACGAACGCUGGCGGCGUGCUUAACACAUGCAAGUCGAACGAAGUGGCGAACGGGUGAGUAACGCGUAAUCAACCUGCCCUUCAGAGGGGGACAACAGUUGGAAACGACUGCUAAUCCCGCUUAUUGAAGGAGGGGAUUGCGUGGGAUUAGCUAGUUGGAGGGGUAACGGCCCAACAAGGCGAUGAUCAGUAGGCGGGUUGGGAGGGUGGACGGGCAAAAUGGGACUGGGAAACGGGCCAGGACCCUACGGGGAGCAGCAGGGGGGAAUCUUCCGAAAUGGGGGAAAGGCUGAAGGAGCAACGCCGGGGGAGAGGUGACGGGCCUCGGGUUGUAAAGCUCUGUUAAUCGGGACGCGGUACCGGAAGAGGAAGCCCCGGCUAACUACGUGCCAGCAGCCGCGGUAAUUC